GACGAACGCUGGCGGCAUGCCUAACACAUGCAAGUCGAACGAGACCUUCGGGUCUAGUGGCGCACGGGUGCGUAACGCGUGGGAAUCUGCCCUUGGGUUCGGAAUAACAGUUAGAAAUGACUGCUAAUACCGGAUGAUGACUUCGGUCCAAAGAUUUAUCGCCCAAGGAUGAGCCCGCGUAGGAUUAGCUAGUUGGUAGGGUAAAGGCCUACCAAGGCGACGAUCCUUAGCUGGUCUGAGAGGAUGAUCAGCCACACUGGGACUGAGACACGGCCCAGACUCCUACGGGAGGCAGCAGUGGGGAAUAUUGGACAAUGGGCGAAAGCCUGAUCCAGCAAUGCCGCGUGAGUGAUGAAGGCCCUAGGGUUGUAAAGCUCUUUUACCCGGGAUGAUAAUGACAGUACCGGGAGAAUAAGCCCCGGCUAACUCCGUGCCAGCAGCCGCCGUAA
rnacentral:rRNA from 1 species